GAACGCUGGCGGCGUGCCUAAUACAUGCAAGUCGAGCGAACAGACAAGGAGCUUGCUCCUUUGACGUUAGCGGCGGACGGGUGAGUAACACGUGGGUAACCUACCUAUAAGACUGGGAUAACUUCGGGAAACCGGAGCUAAUACCGGAUAAUAUUUCGAACCGCAUGGUUCGAUAGUGAAAGAUGGUUUUGCUAUCACUUAUAGAUGGACCCGCGCCGUAUUAGCUAGUUGGUAAGGUAACGGCUUACCAAGGCGACGAUACGUAGCCGACCUGAGAGGGUGAUCGGCCACACUGGAACUGAGACACGGUCCAGACUCCUACGGGAGGCAGCAGUAGGGAAUCUUCCGCAAUGGGCGAAAGCCUGACGGAGCAACGCCGCGUGAGUGAUGAAGGUCUUCGGAUCGUAAAACUCUGUUAUUAGGGAAGAACAUACGUGUAAGUAACUAUGCACGUCUUGACGGUACCUAAUCAGAAAGCCACGGCUAACUACGUGCCAGCAGCCGCGGUAAUACGUAGGUGGCAAGCGUUAUCCGGAAUUAUUGGGCGUAAAGCGCGCGUAGGCGGUUUUUUAAGUCUGAUGUGAAAGCCCACGGCUCAACCGUGGAGGGUCAUUGGAAACUGGAAAACUUGAGUGCAGAAGAGGAAAGUGGAAUUCCAUGUGUAGCGGUGAAAUGCGCAGAGAUAUGGAGGAACACCAGUGGCGAAGGCGACUUUCUGGUCUGUAACUGACGCUGAUGUGCGAAAGCGUGGGGAUCAAACAGGAUUAGAUACCCUGGUAGUCCACGCCGUAAACGAUGAGUGCUAAGUGUUAGGGGGUUUCCGCCCCUUAGUGCUGCAGCUAACGCAUUAAGCACUCCGCCUGGGGAGUACGACCGCAAGGUUGAAACUCAAAGGAAUUGACGGGGACCCGCACAAGCGGUGGAGCAUGUGGUUUAAUUCGAAGCAACGCGAAGAACCUUACCAAAUCUUGACAUCCUUUGACAACUCUAGAGAUAGAGCCUUCCCCUUCGGGGGACAAAGUGACAGGUGGUGCAUGGUUGUCGUCAGCUCGUGUCGUGAGAUGUUGGGUUAAGUCCCGCAACGAGCGCAACCCUUAAGCUUAGUUGCCAUCAUUAAGUUGGGCACUCUAAGUUGACUGCCGGUGACAAACCGGAGGAAGGUGGGGAUGACGUCAAAUCAUCAUGCCCCUUAUGAUUUGGGCUACACACGUGCUACAAUGGACAAUACAAAGGGCAGCGAAACCGCGAGGUCAAGCAAAUCCCAUAAAGUUGUUCUCAGUUCGGAUUGUAGUCUGCAACUCGACUACAUGAAGCUGGAAUCGCUAGUAAUCGUAGAUCAGCAUGCUACGGUGAAUACGUUCCCGGGUCUUGUACACACCGCCCGUCACACCACGAGAGUUUGUAACACCCGAAGCCGGUGGAGUAACCAUUUGGAGCUAGC
rnacentral:rRNA from 1 species